GACGAAGGGGGCUAGCGUUGUUCGGAAUUACUGGGCGUAAAGCGCGUGUAGGCGGUUGCCCAAGUCGGGUGUGAAAGCCUUGAGCUCAACUCAAGAAAUGCACUCGGUACUGGGUGACUAGAGGACCGGAGAGGAUAGUGGAAUUCCCAGUGUAGUGGUGAAAUACGUAGAGAUUGGGAAGAACACCAGGUGGCGAAAGGCGGCUAUCGUGG
rnacentral:rRNA from 1 species